ensembl:lncRNA
UUUUCAGUUAGCUGUGUGAGCGUGCAGAGAGUGUGUGUGAUGUUUAUUCGUCUACCAAAAGUCUUUAUUGAUGGUGAUUAUUAUUAGCUUUUAUUUUUGUCCAUUUGUUUUUAUUAUUAUGAUUACUAUGAUUACUGUUUUUAUUAUUACUGUUGCUAUUAUUAUUAUUAUUAUUAUUAUUCAGGGCAAAGAUGACACCAAAUUGAACAAAGAAAUAAGAGGGUGAUCCCAGACAGACGGAGCUAAAGGUUUAUUUUCCUGGCGAGGUGGUUUUUCUCACCGUUACGCUGUAGUGUCUGUCCACCUUUUAUUCAAACCGCCACAUAAAGAUAACCUCUGAGCUGAAAGUCUAAUAGUAUUUUUUUUUUUAUUAUUGUUAUUGUAUGUUGUUUUCCUUUGAUCAGAUAUCAUGAUCAAUUUAUUUCUUGUUACCCCAGUUUGGGUCAUAAAUUGUGUGCUGUUAUUUUUUCCCCCACCUUCAUCCCUGCCCUCUGCUUUUGGAGUUUAUUUUUUAUUCUGUUUUAUUUUCUGAUUCUUAUUUUUUAUUCUUUCUGGUUUGAUUGAUGCUGUAGUAGUGAGCUGAUGGUCAAAUACCAGAGCUUUUUGUUUUGUUUUCUAAUGCUGAGACUGUUGUGACUGAUGUUGCACUUGUGAUGGGUUUUAUUUUUGUUUUGUUUUGUGUUGCAGAUUGUUGUGCAGAGAGGAGAAUAUUGGGUGUUUUCCUUAUUUUCUUAAAGUCACAGCAGUUAUUUUGUCAAUCAUAUAAAUCUGUGACACAGAGCAAGAAAAUGAUUCAACAGUGUAUUUUUCUCACUGGUAUUUAUUUAUUGGUCAUUUGUAUGUUUUUUUUGUUUGUUUUUUAUUAUUUGUUUUUAUGUGUAUUGCUUUUUUGUUGAGGGCAAACAGGACUCAAGGUAGAGGAGUAGUCUCUCAUUGGCAUUUUACCAUUUUACCAUCGUGUACAGAAAGCAAAAUAUUGUAUCCAGUCAUCACACUAACAUGAAACAGUCUAUUUAGUAGAUUAACAGGUAAAAAUAGCAACCAGCAGCGCAGUAAAGUGCACUGUUUCUGACUUUGCUGCGACUUCCUGACGUCGUCCGUUAUUUUGUUUACUGUUUACCCUCUCAGAAGGCCCCGACAAACACAUCGUGGUGUAUUUGACUCUUGUGCUCGGCUAAUAACUCACAGUUAAAGCUUGUAUUGUUUGGAUGGUUUUUAAUCAGUAAGUACUGAAUGCCACCCACGACAGACUUUUUUUUUUCUUUUCUUUUUUUUUUUUUUAAGUUUUCGGUGUUUCAGCUGAUGAUAACUACUAUGAUAGUGGACUGAUUGGCUUGUUAUUAACCUGCACUUCCUGACAGCGAGGUGGGACACGCCUGCUUUGGAUUAUCAUUGAGGUUUGUUUGCUUGGUCUUUCUAAAAGCCGUUGUCAGUCUAGAUUGCAUGACUUUGUUGGUUUGCAGGGUGGGAGCGGGGGGAGGACUGACUUCAGUCACCGCUGUCGCAGUUCAAAAGCUUCUUGUAUGUACGACACACCCUUGGUUUAUAUUGUCCUGACGGUUGUAUCAGUUGACACAGCUUUACUGCCCGUUCCUUUUUAAUUGUUUUGUUUGGGGUUUUUUGGCUGUAUUUUAUCCCUCCCCCCUCCCCAGUCUCAUUUCAAACAGAAUAAAUGCCAUUAUAUUGUGAAUACCUCAGGAUUUUUUUGGAGAAAAAAAUAAUAAAACACUUAAAAAUCAAAUAAAUAAAUAAACAAAAAACUCAUAAAAC